GACGAACGCUGGCGGCGUGCUUAACACAUGCAAGUCGAACGGAAAGGCCCUGCUUUUGUGGGGUGCUCGAGUGGCGAACGGGUGAGUAACACGUGAGUAACCUGCCCUUGACUUUGGGAUAACUUCAGGAAACUGGGGCUAAUACCGGAUAGGAGCUCCUGCUGCAUGGUGGGGGUUGGAAAGUUUCGGCGGUUGGGGAUGGACUCGCGGCUUAUCAGCUUGUUGGUGGGGUAGUGGCUUACCAAGGCUUUGAAGGGUAGCCGGCCUGAGAGGGUGACCGGCCACAUUGGGACUGAGAUACGGCCCAGACUCCUACGGGAGGCAGCGGUGGGGAAUAUUGCACAAUGGGCUGAGGCCUGAUGCAGCCACGCCGCGUGCGGGAUGACGGCCUUCGGGUUGUAAUCCGCUUUCGCCUGUGACGAAGCGUGAGUGACGGUAAUGGGUAAAGAAGCACCGGCUAACUACGUG
rnacentral:rRNA from 1 species